rnacentral:rRNA from 1 species
AUUGAACGCUGGCGGCAUGCCUUACACAUGCAAGUCGAACGGUAACAGGUCUUCGGAUGCUGACGAGUGGCGAACGGGUGAGUAAUACAUCGGAACGUGCCUAGUAGUGGGGGAUAACUACUCGAAAGAGUGGCUAAUACCGCAUGUGAUCUACGGAUGAAAGCAGGGGAUCGCAAGACCUUGUGCUACUAGAGCGGCCGAUGGCAGAUUAGGUAGUUGGUGGGAUAAGAGCUUACCAAGCCGACGAUCUGUAGCUGGUCUGAGAGGACGAUCAGCCACACUGGGACUGAGACACGGCCCAGACUCCUACGGGAGGCAGCAGUGGGGAAUUUUGGACAAUGGGCGCAAGCCUGAUCCAGCAAUGCCGCGUGCAGGAUGAAGGCCUUCGGGUUGUAAACUGCUUUUGUACGGAACGAAAAGCCCUGGGUUAAUACCCUGGGGUCAUGACGGUACCGUAAGAAUAAGCACCGGCUAACUACGUGCCAGCCGCCGCAGUAA